UUUAUUUUUCUCUACAUAUAUAUCUAUCUAUAAACUUCUUUUCUUUUUCCAUUUUUAAUUUUGGCUAAAAGCUCUUACUCACUAUACACCUACGGAAUAAAACUUUGUUUUCUUGCAUUUAAUCAUUUCUUGCUUAAUACUUGCUUCAAAAAACAAAACCCUAAAAGGGAUUGAUUCGCCGCCAGAAUUUCUUCUCUCCUCUCCCCAUUUAACCUUCAUCACCUCUCUCAUUAGCUCACAGUUUUCUUCACCUGUUCUAUGUUGAGAAAAAAGAACUUUCUUGGAGUUUAAUUAGUCAAAUGUUCUAUUUUUAUCAGCAUAAAAGGGUCCAAUUUUCAGCUUGUACAUGUGGGGUUUUGUAGUUCUAAGGUUUAUAUGAUAAAGUUUUGGUUCUUUUGCCUUUCUUGGGUUGCUAGGUUUUGUGGGUACUGAUUAUAUUUUUUGUUGUAGAAUUGAGUAUAUAUUUGGUCUUUGAUCAUGGAGCUUUCUUGGUGCUAUUUUAUUUGAUCAAAGAUUGGAUUUUUGUGAGCUGAAAGCUUUGAUUUACAUGUGGGGUUUUGUAGUUUUAAGGUUUAUGUGAAUCUUUUUUAAAAAAAACCUUUCUUGAGUUGCUAGGUCUUGUGCGUAUUGAUUAUACUUGUUGUGGAAGGAGUAUAAUCAAUUAUUGUUCUUUGAUCAUGGAGCUUUCUUGGAAUUAUAUUUGAUCAACGAUUGGAUUUUUAUGAGCUUAAAGCUUUGAUUUUGAGGUUGUGCGCGUGGGGUUUUGUAGUUUUUAAGGUUUAUAUAUCUAUGCAAAAGUUUUGGUUUUGAAUAACUUUCUUGGGUUGUUAAGGCUUGUGGGUAUUGAUUAUAUUUGUUGUGGAAUGAGUGAGUGAAGAUGGUAUCUGAAUUGAGUAGGAGACCAAUGAUUGGAAACAAUGAAGAUUCAUUUGGAGAUGAGUUCGAGAAAGAGAUUGGGAUGUUACUUCAUGAUCAGCGAAGACAAGAAGCUGACGAUCGCGAAAAGGAGCUGAAUAUGUAUAGAAGUGGCUCAGCUCCACCUACUGUUGAGGGUUCAUUGAGUGCAGUAGGUGAUGAUCGGGAACAAUGAAAAUUCAUUUGGAGAUGAGUUUGAGAAAGAGAUUGGGAUGUUACUUCAUGAUCAGCGAAGACAAGAAGCUGACGAUCGCGAAAAGGAGCUGAAUAUGUAUAGAAGUGGCUCAGCUCCACCUACUGUUGAGGGUUCAUUGAGUGCAGUAGGUGGAUUGCUUAACAAUAAUGGUUUCAUGUCUGAGGAGGAGCUUAGGUCUGAUCCCGCUUACUUAUCUUACUAUUACUCGAACGUAAACCUUAAUCCUAGGUUGCCUCCUCCACUUUUGUCCAAAGAAGAUUGGCGGUUUUCACAGAGGUUGCAAGGAGGGAGCUCCGCUAUUGGUGAUAGGAGGAACGUAAACAAGAAUGAUAACAAUGGUAAUGGUAGGAGGUCACCCAUGCCUCCAGGAUUUAACUCAAAAAAAGCAGAGAGCGAGAAUGAAACAGAUAAAUUGCAGGGUU
rnacentral:lncRNA from 1 species